rnacentral:rRNA from 1 species
GUACACUCCUGCGGGAGGCAGCAGUAGGGAAUCUUCCACAAUGGGUGCAAACCUGAUGGAGCAAUGCCGCGUGAGUGAAGAAGGUCUUCGGAUCGUAAAGCUCUGUUGUUAGAGAAGAACACGUGCUAGGUAACUACUAGCGCCUUGACGGUAUCUAACCAGAAAGUCACGGCUAACUACGUGCCAGCAGCCGCGGUAAUACGUAGGUGACAAGCGUUGUCCGGAUUUAUUGGGCGUAAAGGGAUCGCAGGCGGUCUGUUUAGUCUAAUGUGAAAGCCCACGGCUUAACCGUGGAACGGCAUUGGAAACUGACAGACUUGAAUGUAGAAGAGGAAAAUGGAAUUCCAAGUGUAGCGGUGGAAUGCGUAGAUAUUUGGAGGAACACCAGUGGCGAAGGCGAUUUUCUGGUCUAACAUUAACGCUGAGGCUCGAAAGCGUGGGGAGCGAACAGGAUUAGAUACCCGAGUAGUCCCA